GACGAACGCUGGCGGCGUGCUUAACACAUGCAAGUCGAACGGUAAGGCCCUUCGGGGUACACGAGUGGCGAACGGGUGAGUAACACGUGGGUGAUCUGCCCUGCACUUCGGGAUAAGCCUGGGAAACUGGGUCUAAUACCGGAUAGGACCCUGGGAUGCAUGUCCUGGGGUGGGAAGCUUUUGCGGUGUGGGAUGGGCCCGCGGCCUAUCAGCUUGUUGGUGGGGGGAUGGCCUACCAAGGCGACGACGGGUAGCCGGCAUGAGAGGGUGACCGGCCACACUGGGACUGAGAUACGGCCCAGACUCCUACGGGAGGCAGCAGUGGGGAAUAUUGCACAAUGGGCGCAAGCCUGAUGCAGCGACGCCGCGUGAGGGAUGACGGCCUUCGGGUUGUAAACCUCUUUCAGCACCGACGAAGCGCAAGUGACGGUAGGUGCAGAAGAAGGACCGGCCAACUACGUGCCAGCCGCCGCAGUAA
rnacentral:rRNA from 1 species